UUUCCGUAGGUGAACCUGCGGAAGGAUCAUUAUUGAACCUAAGCAAGCCUGGUAUUUAUUUUGCAAGGUCUUGCGCGUAUUUAAAACCCCACACUUUUUUGAAAAUAACAUGUAUCUUACUUGAAUAAAAGUAAUUAAAAGAUCACUUUCAACAACGGAUCUCUUGGUUCUCGCAUCGAUGAAGAACGUAGCGAAGUGCGAUAAGUAGUGUGAAUUGCAGAAUUCCGUGGAUCAUCGAAUUUUUGAACGCAAAUUGCACUCUCUGGUAUUCCGGAGAGUAUGCCUGUUUGAGGGUCAUUAGAAUCAAAAUCGAUUUGUUACUCUGGUAACGUUUCGGAAUUGGGUCAUCUUAUACCUUCAGGUUCAAGAGGCUUAAAAUUGAUCAUUUUUUGGUAUGAAUUAAGCGUAUUUAAGAUCUCUUAUCACGCGCUUGACUCCUAUCGGAUGUUUAUUAGGCGUGACCGUGAUCAUGGUUUCGCGCCCAUAAUCUUUCAUGAAAUGACCUCAAAUCAGGUAGGAAUACCCGCUGAACUUAA
rnacentral:rRNA from 1 species